AAAUUGAAGAGUUUGAUCAUGGCUCAGAUUGAACGCUGGCGGCAGGCCUAACACAUGCAAGUCGAACGGUAACAGGAAGCAGCUUGCUGCUUUGCUGACGAGUGGCGGACGGGUGAGUAAUGUCUGGGAAACUGCCUGAUGGAGGGGGAUAACUACUGGAAACGGUAGCUAAUACCGCAUAACGUCGCAAGACCAAAGAGGGGGACCNNAGGCGACGAUCCCUAGCUGGUCUGAGAGGAUGACCAGCCACACUGGAACUGAGACACGGUCCAGACUCCUACGGGAGGCAGCAGUGGGGAAUAUUGCACAAUGGGCGCAAGCCUGAUGCAGCCAUGCCGCGUGUAUGAAGAAGGCCUUCGGGUUGUAAAGUACUUUCAGCGGGGAGGAAGGGAGUAAAGUUAAUACCUUUGCUCAUUGACGUUACCCGCAGAAGAAGCACCGGCUAACUCCGUGCCAGCAGCCGCGGUAAUACGGAGGGUGC
rnacentral:rRNA from 1 species